rnacentral:lncRNA from 1 species
UUUUGGUUUUUUUUAACAGAAAAAAAUGUCGAAACAAAAACGGAAAAAAAUGUAAUUAAAAAUAAACGGUGACACAGUUAUAUAUGUACAUAAAUAAUUAAAUAAAUAAAUAACAACUUGCGGCUGUCAUAGUAGUGGUGAAUUUCUUGAUUUUUUAUCAAAAGUUACAAAAAAUAUUUCUUCCGAUAUAUGGGCAUAUAUCCAUCAACACUCAUACAUACUUAUUUAUCAUGCAAAAUCAAUAUGAUUACAAUUAUAUAUAAAGUUAUAUAUAUAGUAUCAAUCAAUAUCAUCCAUGUUUUUUCUGAUCAUAAGAAUGUAAUGGUUUUUUAUAACGAACAAAGAUUUCCUUUUUGAAAAUCUCAAAACGUUUACUAUUGAAGGUAUUCUGCUGUUCACGCCAUGAUGGACGAGCAUUUUUCUUUUGUAAACCCCAAUGGCAGGUGAAUACAGGAGUCAAGACAUAGAAUGAGUAACCAGAAACAUACAUCUCGUAGACCUUCAAUCAGAAACACACACAAAGGCCAAUAUUAAAAUUGAAAUGGACAAACCGUCAGCAAGGAAAAGGGUUCCAGCAAAAUGUGUGACACAUACAUCUCUUGUUGCUUCCAUGAUUCCUAUUACUCCUUGUGUUCGCCAUACUAUUGUUGUUCUCACAGUCACGUAAAGCUGUACUGUCGUUGCAGUCGUCACCGUCAUUGUUACUGUUAUUGCUGGAAGAGAAAAUGUUUGUUGUAAAAAUCUUAAAAUUUGGAAUGAUGAUGUGAAACGUUUAGAAAUGUCUUCUUUUUAAUUUUCUUUUUUUAAACAUUGAAAAACGCUCUGUAAAAUUUGUAUUUAUUAAGUUAAACUAUAUCGAUAAAAGAAACUUUUAUCUAUAAUUAUUAAUAUAAUCAAUAAAACUCUUAAAAUGAAAACAGAAAUAAGAAAUAGAAUACCAUUCUAAACAAAAGUUGAAUUAAUUUCGUAAUUGUUUUGUGUUACGGAAUUGUAAACAUUUCGUUUGGAAUAUGUGGCAGGUUACACUUUGCCUACUGGAUUUAUGAAAGAUCCUCGUAGAAGUAGCAUAAUUUUUAGGUCUUGUUUUAUCUGUUACAACAAAAAAAUUUUAAAAAUUGUUCAAUUCACAAAUGAUGUCGUGUCGUUGAAACGUUGUAAUUUUUUGAAACAAAAACAAAUCAAUAAUAAAAAAUUACAACAUACUACGUUACAACCGUACAACACCGAUUGUGAAUUUGACAAAUGUUAUAACAUAUGGGGAAUUUAUUACAGAAUUCUGCAAAUACAUAUGUAACCAUUCCAAUCGUUAGAAGUGAUAUUUUUACAUUAUCACUCCUAACGAUUGUAAUUAUUGUUAUGAAUUGCAUUUCUUUCAUUUGAGUAGUCGGUUUUUUACUUUAUAAAUAUUUAUUUUAUAGUUGAGUCAUCCUAUUAUUUUAAAAUUUUUCAAUAUGAGAGUCAUUCUGUUUUGUUUUCUAUUAAGAUAAUUAUUACUCGAACGUUUCGUACGAUGACUUCAGUUUCUCGUAACGUAACGAAAUAUGAGUUAACUUUAUCUUAUUAAUGAAAAAAUAUAUCAAAAAAUUAACCAAUGACCUUGCAAUUAACAAAGUAUUUUAGCCCAUUUUUUUGUUUUUUAAUUAUAGAUUAAAAAAGAAAAAUUUUUAAGUAAAUUCUAAAUAAAAGAGAUAUUUUAUAAUUUCAAUUUCUUUACUCCAAUAUAGUCUAAAAUCAUCUAAAAAUGUCUACUAUUUUAUGCCUUUAAACACAUAUAUUUUAAAUAGAUAUCAGAUACUUAGUGAUUCUAAGUACAUCAUGAUAGAUAUAUUUAAUAUAUUUCUUCCCAAAAAUAUAUCUUUCAGAUAAUUUCAAUAUAAAUUUAAUAAAAUGUCAAAUAUCUAAUGUUGUUUUGGCGAUGCCAACCUUCAUGUAGACAUCAAAUUAUUUUCGAAUUGCUAACUUGUGUGUUGACAUAAAAAUACUUGGCUAUUUGAUUG